rnacentral:misc_RNA from 1 species
CAGACACACGCACAUGAACCGUCGCAGAUACACCUGCGCACACAUCAUAGAAGAAGUGGAUGUCUGCACCACACCUGUUAUCCUUCCUGCACCCAGCCGCGUCUUGUAGCCCACCUCCCAUCGCCGUGCCGACAUGGAUGCUGGCGACGGAGGAACGGCUGGGCCGCCAGGCUGUACACAUCGCGGAGCUGGAGGCAAGGCACGACAUCACUGCUCUUCUAACUCGCUCCUACUUCGCGAUGUCGACGUCAUGUCCGCGUUCGGAGUGGCGGCCUGUUCGCUUAGAGCCAGUCUCACAGCUGGAGUGCCUGGCUGCCGCAUCGAGCAGCCACAGCGAGAACGACGGUGACACGGUGGCGAAGCAAUCGUGUCGCGCCGCGUCCUGUGCAGAAUCUCUGUCGUCAGCAGCGUUCUCUUUGAGACACAUACAAGCCUCUGCGCAGACCGGCGCGUUUUCGCGACAACGUGAAAACGACACACGCCGCAGCACGCCAGAGCUGCCGCUGUCUUCCUUCUGGCAGCAGCUGGCAGACCUCGAUGAGCGACUGACCGAAGUAGAGUGGGCAACGGUGCACUGCAAAGGGUCGCAGCCGACGGCCGACGCACGUCGACCUCAACAGCCCCGUGUCAACUCGUCCAGGCCAACGAUGGACGACUGUGUUGCUCUUCUCGACUCUCUGCUCGCAUCGCAAGAGGGGACGCGCACGCCUCAAUGGGACGACGCAACAGCCGGCGCAGCGCUACCGCGGCGACAGCGGCGACAGCGGCGACAGCAGCGACCGUCGCAAGAGACGGAGCGCCAUCUACCGCUGCAGCUCCACUCUCGGCAGAAGUGCAUGCUGAGUAUACUCGCCAAGCUUCGCGAUGCUCUGCGCAGCACCCAAGCCUCAUACAAGGCAGCCACGGGUAUCCGCGCACCCGUCUCGUUGGAGACGCUCCUGCAGCUGCCACCGGAGACCAUGCCGCUUCUCAUGUGCACCGACGACGGCAUGCACGACGUGCGUCAGCCUCAGUGCCGUCAUCACUGCGACGCCUCUGGUGGAACAGCCGCGUGUUGCGGCCUCCUGUCAAGCACCUCUAUUUACACGCUGUGGGCCACGCUCAUGGAUGGCGUCGACAUGUUCCCCAGUUUCUCGCGCGCUGUGGCAGAGGCACUCUGGGCAGCAGUGCUGUGGAUGCAUGCGUGCGCCACUUCUGCGCCGCCCGGUCAGACGUUUUUUGCCCCCAUCGCGAGCGGCAAGGGAGAAGGGUGCAGCCACAUUCGGCCUCUUCGAGCUGAAGUGCAGCAGCAGCAGCAGCGCACCGGCUCCGCGUCUCCGUUGCAACGCCGACCAUUAAGGAGUGAAGCAGAACCUCGACAACUGCGCUCUCCCUCGGAGGCGCGUCAGCGAUUGACUGUACGUCACCAGCGCGUCAUCGCCCCGACCCUGAAGAGUCGGUUGCAAGAGGAGGAGGAGCGGUGGGCGUACCGGGACUUUCCUGUCCGCCGCGGAUUCACCGCGCCGACGGUGUACGAUGAUCUCUUUCCCUUGCCGACUGCUGUCUCAGCGUUUGUGGAGCCCCCGCUGUACACCGUGCCAUCGCCGUCACUGUUGACCGGACGCAGCAGCGGUGCUGCAGUUGCAGAGGCGAAGGAAGAGGCGGCGACGACCGUCGGACUCGAUUUCUAUACUGGACCUGCCCGCAGGCCGCGGUCGCUCGUGUAAAGGCGAAGAUGUCGCCCCACACGGAUUGGACCACAUCGCCACAGUCGCCCAUUCUUUCCGCGUGCACUCGCCUGCGUGGGCGUGCGAGUGACACGCUCGCGCGUGCGAUAGUGCGCAUGCGCAUGCCUGGUUUUCCCAUGUCCUUCUCUUCGGUGUUGACGCCUCAUGUGGCUCAGGCACGCCCUCUCUCGCGGAGCGGGACUGUGUCGACGCCUCUGCCCCCGCCCCCUUCUCGGUGUGUUGCUGCGAUCGUUAGCGGCAAGCGGGC